rnacentral:rRNA from 1 species
UACGUAGGGUGCAAGCGUUUGUCCGGAAUUAUUGGGCGUAAAGAGCUCGUAGGCGGUCUGUCGCGUCUGCUGUGAAAACUCAGGGCUUAACCCUGAGCUUGCAGUGGGUACGGGCAGACUAGAGUGCGGUAGGGGAGACUGGAAUUCCUGGUGUAGCGGUGAAAUGCGCAGAUAUCAGGAGGAACACCGGUGGCGAAGGCGGGUCUCUGGGCCGUAACUGACGCUGGAGGA